GGUUAAGCGACUAAGCGUACACGGUGGAUGCCCUGGCAGUCAGAGGCGAUGAAGGACGUGCUAAUCUGCGAUAAGCGUCGGUAAGGUGAUAUGAACCGUUAUAACCGGCGAUUUCCGAAUGGGGAAACCCAGUGUGAUUCGUCACACUAUCAUUAACUGAAUCCAUAGGUUAAUGAGGCGAACCGGGGGAACUGAAACAUCUAAGUACCCCGAGGAAAAGAAAUCAACCGAGAUUCCCCCAGUAGCGGCGAGCGAACGGGGAGCAGCCCAGAGCCUGAAUCAGUGUGUGUGUUAGUGGAAGCGUCUGGAAAGGCGCGCGAUACAGGGUGACAGCCCCGUACACAAAAAUGCACAUACUGUGAGCUCGAUGAGUAGGGCGGGACACGUGGUAUCCUGUCUGAAUAUGGGGGGACCAUCCUCCAAGGCUAAAUACUCCUGACUGACCGAUAGUGAACCAGUACCGUGAGGGAAAGGCGAAAAGAACCCCGGCGAGGGGAGUGAAAAAGAACCUGAAACCGUGUACGUACAAGCAGUGGGAGCACAGAGCAAUCUGUGUGACUGCGUACCUUUUGUAUAAUGGGUCAGCGACUUAUAUUCUGUAGCAAGGUUAACCGAAUAGGGGAGCCGAAGGGAAACCGAGUCUUAACUGGGCGUUAAGUUGCAGGGUAUAGACCCGAAACCCGGUGAUCUAGCCAUGGGCAGGUUGAAGGUUGGGUAACACUAACUGGAGGACCGAACCGACUAAUGUUGAAAAAUUAGCGGAUGACUUGUGGCUGGGGGUGAAAGGCCAAUCAAACCGGGAGAUAGCUGGUUCUCCCCGAAAGCUAUUUAGGUAGCGCCUCGUGAAUUCAUCUCCGGGGGUAGAGCACUGUUUCGGCAAGGGGGUCAUCCCGACUUACCAACCCGAUGCAAACUGCGAAUACCGGAGAAUGUUAUCACGGGAGACACACGGCGGGUGCUAACGUCCGUCGUGAAGAGGGAAACAACCCAGACCGCCAGCUAAGGUCCCAAAGUCAUGGUUAAGUGGGAAACGAUGUGGGAAGGCCCAGACAGCCAGGAUGUUGGCUUAGAAGCAGCCAUCAUUUAAAGAAAGCGUAAUAGCUCACUGGUCGAGUCGGCCUGCGCGGAAGAUGUAACGGGGCUAAACCAUGCACCGAAGCUGCGGCAGCGACGCUGAUGCGUUGUUGGGUAGGGGAGCGUUCUGUAAGCCUGUGAAGGUGUGCUGUGAGGCAUGCUGGAGGUAUCAGAAGUGCGAAUGCUGACAUAAGUAACGAUAAAGCGGGUGAAAAGCCCGCUCGCCGGAAGACCAAGGGUUCCUGUCCAACGUUAAUCGGGGCAGGGUGAGUCGACCCCUAAGGCGAGGCCGAAAGGCGUAGUCGAUGGGAAACAGGUUAAUAUUCCUGUACUUGGUGUUACUGCGAAGGGGGGACGGAGAAGGCUAUGUUGGCCGGGCGACGGUUGUCCCGGUUUAAGCGUGUAGGCUGGUUUUCCAGGCAAAUCCGGAAAAUCAAGGCUGAGGCGUGAUGACGAGGCACUACGGUGCUGAAGCAACAAAUGCCCUGCUUCCAGGAAAAGCCUCUAAGCAUCAGGUAACAUCAAAUCGUACCCCAAACCGACACAGGUGGUCAGGUAGAGAAUACCAAGGCGCUUGAGAGAACUCGGGUGAAGGAACUAGGCAAAAUGGUGCCGUAACUUCGGGAGAAGGCACGCUGAUAUGUAGGUGAAGCGACUUGCUCGUGGAGCUGAAAUCAGUCGAAGAUACCAGCUGGCUGCAACUGUUUAUUAAAAACACAGCACUGUGCAAACACGAAAGUGGACGUAUACGGUGUGACGCCUGCCCGGUGCCGGAAGGUUAAUUGAUGGGGUCAGCGCAAGCGAAGCUCUUGAUCGAAGCCCCGGUAAACGGCGGCCGUAACUAUAACGGUCCUAAGGUAGCGAAAUUCCUUGUCGGGUAAGUUCCGACCUGCACGAAUGGCGUAAUGAUGGCCAGGCUGUCUCCACCCGAGACUCAGUGAAAUUGAACUCGCUGUGAAGAUGCAGUGUACCCGCGGCAAGACGGAAAGACCCCGUGAACCUUUACUAUAGCUUGACACUGAACAUUGAGCCUUGAUGUGUAGGAUAGGUGGGAGGCUUUGAAGUGUGGACGCCAGUCUGCAUGGAGCCGACCUUGAAAUACCACCCUUUAAUGUUUGAUGUUCUAACGUUGACCCGUAAUCCGGGUUGCGGACAGUGUCUGGUGGGUAGUUUGACUGGGGCGGUCUCCUCCUAAAGAGUAACGGAGGAGCACGAAGGUUGGCUAAUCCUGGUCGGACAUCAGGAGGUUAGUGCAAUGGCAUAAGCCAGCUUGACUGCGAGCGUGACGGCGCGAGCAGGUGCGAAAGCAGGUCAUAGUGAUCCGGUGGUUCUGAAUGGAAGGGCCAUCGCUCAACGGAUAAAAGGUACUCCGGGGAUAACAGGCUGAUACCGCCCAAGAGUUCAUAUCGACGGCGGUGUUUGGCACCUCGAUGUCGGCUCAUCACAUCCUGGGGCUGAAGUAGGUCCCAAGGGUAUGGCUGUUCGCCAUUUAAAGUGGUACGCGAGCUGGGUUUAGAACGUCGUGAGACAGUUCGGUCCCUAUCUGCCGUGGGCGCUGGAGAAUUGAGGGGGGCUGCUCCUAGUACGAGAGGACCGGAGUGGACGCAUCACUGGUGUUCGGGUUGUCAUGCCAAUGGCACUGCCCGGUAGCUAAAUGCGGAAGAGAUAAGUGCUGAAAGCAUCUAAGCACGAAACUUGCCCCGAGAUGAGUUCUCCCUGACUCCUUGAGAGUCCUGAAGGAACGUUGAAGACGACGACGUUGAUAGGCCGGAUGUGUAAGCGCAGCGAUGCGUUGAGCUAACCGGUACUAAUGAACCGUGAGGCUUAACCUU
rnacentral:rRNA from 1 species